UGAACAAAAGUUUCCGGGAUUGUGUGU
rnacentral:piRNA from 1 species